GUUGGGAGCUUCCAGUGAGCUGUGAUCCUUGGAAAGGGUGCUCACGACAGUAUCACUACAGCUAAUGGAACAGUGGGGAAUAGAGAUUUGUGCCUUGAGGCUGCCAGGCAGUUCAUUUUAUUUACCUCCAACAUUACCCUCUCCUGACACAGCUCCAUGCCGUUCCUCCUGGCUCAGCAUAGCCCCUCUACUGCCUGUGAGGAGCUGCACGUGCCAUGAGGCAUCCCCUCAGCUCCUCUGCUCUGGGCUGAACAAACCAAGGGAUCUUGCCUUGUACACCCCUGGUCCUCCAGAUCCUUUGCCAUCUUUGUAACCCUCCUUUGGACACUCUCUAAUAGUUUUAUGUCCUUCCUAUACUGUAGAGCCCAAGCCUGCGCCCAGUGUUCAAGGUGAGGCAGAAAAUUAAAAAAAAAAAAAAAAAAAAAAAAAAAAAAUUAAAAAACAACAAAAACUUGCUUUUCAUUUUAGUUUUCCACAAUGUAUCUGAUAUGUAUCACAAACAUUUUGAAAAGUUAUUUCCAGUCAAAUUGUUCUAAGCAACAAUAUAUAGAAGUUGCUGGAAGCAAGUACUCUAGGGAGACAUGCUUCCACAUGCAUAUUCUUCUUUCAGGGCUAUAAAUACUGUUGCUCUGAUUCUGUUAAUUAGAAUGAAAAAUGCUAACUGCAGAAGUAUAUUAUGACCAUACUCAGAAGAGGUCAUGCAGCUAAUGAAGCUUUUGUGAAGAAGUUAAAAAGAACAAUUCCACAUAUAGUCAUAUAGUCAUAGCCUUAUAGUCAGGAGUUAGAGCUUGCUUUCCUAUUUUUGUCGGUUAUGGUGCCUGAGUAGUUUGGCUUAAAAUUCAUCCAAUUUAAUUGGGAUUUAUACUUUGCAAGUGCCUUGUAAGGCUUUAUUGCGGGAUUCAUAUCUUUAAUUCAAUAAGUCAUAAAUGUUCAGAA